GCCGUGUCUCAGGCCUGCAGCUGAUCCCCUCAGCAGAUUCUACUCUGACAUGGGAUUCAGGAACAAGGAGAUCCUGCUGAUCUGAGCCCAGAAUCAGCAGAUUGUUUUCUUCUGAAUCGGCCCGAGUCACAGCAGCGUCUCUUCAAAUGAUUUUUUCCUCAGAA